rnacentral:lncRNA from 1 species
CUAGAAUCUCUUAAUCUCUUUAAUCUUUUCAUCUGAUUAUCCCUGAUUGGUUGAAUCAUGCUCUAAUACACAAAAGUGUAUAAAAUUAAGCUUCUUACAUCGCGAUUCAUCCUGGUUUGAUUCGAUUGACAAAGAAGCUGUCAUAUUCCCAAACAAGAAAACUGGGAUCACCUGAUUUGAAAAAAGGGGAGAGUGUGAUUUCGUUUUUCAUAAAAUCUGGGUGUUCUUGAGUGUUCUUGAGGGUUCUUGAGUGUUCUUGGUGUUCUUGAGUUCUGGUCUUUAUUAUCUG